rnacentral:rRNA from 1 species
GAAUUCACUAGUGAUUCAGGCCUAACACAUGCAAGUCGAGCGGUAGAGAGAAGCUUGCUUCUCUUGAGAAAGGCGGACGGGUGAGUAAUGCCUAGGAAUCUGCCUGGUAGUGGGGGAUAACGUUCGGAAACGGACGCUAAUACCGCAUACGUCCUACGGGAGAAAGCAGGGGACCUUCGGGCCUUGCGCUAUCAGAUGAGCCUAGGUCGGAUUAGCUAGUUGGUGAGGUAAUGGCUCACCAAGGCGACGAUCCGUAACUGGUCUGAGAGGAUGAUCAGUCACACUGGAACUGAGACACGGUCCAGACUCCUACGGGAGGCAGCAGUGGGGAAUAUUGGACAAUGGGCGAAAGCCUGAUCC